rnacentral:lncRNA from 1 species
AUGGCUAAAUACACUCUGAGGCACCAGAAGAAGACGGAGAAAAGCCAGUCGGCACUUUCCCCCCUGGGCAGGGAUGGGAGGAGGUCCGGGAAGCAGAGGCGCAAAGAAAGAAAACAGAAAACUCAGGACGCCCAGCCGAAGACCUGCUCGGGCUCAGGCAGGAAUUCAGGCACUAAACUGGCCCUGUUCGCGGGGGUUAAAAGAAUCCAGAUGCAGUCCUCGCCACAGUCUGGCGGGUGCGGGGCGCAGACCCCACCGCGGACCCCAGCUGGGCCCGAGCAAGCCGGGAAAAGUGCGCGGGAAGCUGGGGGCUCGCGGCGGGCGGCCCGGGCCGGGGCCGAGCCUGCGCGCCCGGGGGCGGCUCCCCGCAGCUCCGCGGCCGCCGGCCCGGGGACCCAAAGCGGCGACGCCCGCGGGCCGGGAGGGCGGGGGCCCUCGCUACCUGCCGGCCGGGGGCGGCCCGACACGGCGGAAGCCCGCGGCCCCAGCUUUGUUCGGCGGCGGGGACCCCUUCCCCUGCGCGUUCCCCCUCCCCGCCAGUCCCCCGCCCUGCAGACCCGCCCCGGGCCGAGCUCACAGUCCCCGGGAUCGGGGAGUCGGGUGGGGAUGGGGCCAACCCCGGACCGCGCCUCCUCGCUCCGGACCCCGGCGCCCGGAACGGCCCGCGGGCACGGGGAAGCUGGGCGGCGGGACGCGGGCUCCCCUUCCCCGGCCGCCGCAGGGCUUACCUGCGCGUCCGCGGCUUGUCAGGCCCGCGGGCUCCGGCUCGCUCUUCGCCCGGCCCGGCCCUUCGAGUGCCCGCGGGGCCGGGGUGACCGGUACACCGACUCUUCGCGCUGCGCUCGGUCCCACCGAACGUCCGCCCGGCUCCGGGCUUCGGCCAGUCGCUCCCGCCGAGCCCGCGCUCCCUGCCCGAGGCUCCCGCGCAGCGCCCGGACCGAGCCUGCAGGGCGGAGGCGGGGCGCGGGCGGUGGCCGAGCAGAGGAGGCUGGGCCCUGGCGCAGGGCUCGGGUCGCCGGCUGCGCGCUCCUCUCCGCCGCGGCCGGGAACUUGGGCCCGAGUUGGCUGCGGCGGCGGCGGCCGCGGCUCCGAGUGCAGGGCCGGCGCCGGGCAGCGGGUCCCGGGCCCCGCGCUCCGCCCCGCGCCUCCUCCCCGCCCCCGCCG